GAUGAAGAACGUAGAGAAAUGCGAUAAGUAAUGUGAAUUGCAGAAUUCAGUGAAUCAUCGAAUCUUUGAACGCACAUUGCGCCCGCCAGUAUUCUGGCGGGCAUGCCUGUUCGAGCGUCAUUUCAACCAUCAAGCCCCCGGCUUGUGUUGGGGACCUGCGGCUGCCGCAGGCCCUGAAAACCAGUGGCGGGCUCGCUGUCACACCGAGCGUAGUAGAUUUUCAUCUCGCUCAGGGCGUGCUGCGGGUUCCGGCCGUAAAAAGCCUUAUUUACCCAAGGUUGACCUCGGAUCAGGUAGGAAGACCCGCUGAACUUAAGCAUAUCAAUAAGCGGAGGA
rnacentral:misc_RNA from 1 species